GUAUGCCCCACCACCUGUGGCCUUCUCAUAAAUAAUAAUUAAUUAAAAGAUUUGCAUACAUUAAAAGUCCAUACUAUAUGCACAAAAAUGUUUACAUAAAAUAACUGUGCUAACACACAAAAUACUAAACAAUUUUCCAAAUUUCAUUUUCAUUUUACCAAUAGAUCUCAAAUAGCUAAAGAUACUUUUGACUAACAUUUUCUGAAAUACUUUGUCACUAGUUUGGCAUGGUAUUUAGUUUGAAUAUGGCACACAAUGAAACAAGGAAUUGAAAGGCCAAUGAUCACACUGAGAAUCAAGAAGGAAAACAGAGCUUGUAGAUAGAGCAAAUAUUGGAACAAACAAACA
rnacentral:misc_RNA from 1 species